AAAAAGCGGAGGAAAAGAAACCAACAGGGAUUGCCUCAGUAACGGCGAGUGAAGCGGCAAAAGCUCAAAUUUGAAAUCUAGCACCUUCGGUGUUUGAGUUGUAAUUUGAAGAUGGUAACCUUGGGUUUGGCUCUUGUCUAUGUUCCUUGGAACAGGACGUCAUAGAGGGUGAGAAUCCCGUCUGAUGAGAUGCCCAUUCCUAUGUAAGGUGCUAUCGAAGAGUCGAGUUGUUUGGGAAUGCAGCUCUAAGUGGGUGGUAAAUUCCAUCUAAAGCUAAAUAUUGGCGAGAGACCGAUAGCGAACAAGUACAGUGAUGGAAAGAUGAAAAGAACUUUGAAAAGAGAGUGAAAAAGUACGUGAAAUUGUUGAAAGGGAAGGGCAUUAGAUCAGACUUGGUGUUUUACGAUUAUCUUCUCUUCUUGAGUUGUGCACUCGUAUUUCACUGGGCCAGCAUCGAUUCGGAUGGCAAGAUAAUGGCAGUUGAAUGUGGCUUCACUUCGGUGGAGUGUUAUAGCUUCUGCUGAUAUUGCCUGUCUGGAUCGAGGGCUGCGUCUUUUGACUAGGAUGCUGGCGUAAUGAUCUAAUGCCGCCCGUCUUGA
rnacentral:rRNA from 1 species